rnacentral:rRNA from 1 species
GACGAACGCUGGCGGCGUGCUUAACACAUGCAAGUCGAACGGAAAGGCCCUGCUUUUGUGGGGUGCUCGAGUGGCGAACGGGUGAGUAACACGUGAGUAACCUGCCCUUGACUGUGGGAUAACUUCAGGAAACUGGGGCUAAUACCGGAUAGGAGCUCCUGCUGCAGGGUGGGGGUUGGAAAGUUUCGGCGGUUGGGGAUGGACUCGCGGCUUAUCAGCUGGUUGGUGGGGUAGUGGCUUACCAAGGGUUCGACGGGUAGCCGGCCUGGGGGGUUGACCGCGGACAAGGCGACUGCGAGACGCAGCAGUCGGCAAUGUUGGGCAGUGGUGGCAAAUCUUGUACAGUGAGCCCGAGCGUGAGACAGCGGCGUCGCGUUCGUGAUGCCGGUCUUCGGGGGGAAAAACGCUUUGGCCUAUGACGACGCGUGGAUGACGGUACCGGAUGAAGAAGCACCGGCUAACUACGUG